GAUGAACGCUGGCGGCGUGCCUAAUACAUGCAAGUCGAGCGAACAGACGAGGAGCUUGCUCCUCUGACGUUAGCGGCGGACGGGUGAGUAACACGUGGAUAACCUACCUAUAAGACUGGGAUAACUUCGGGAACCCGGAGCUAAUACCGGAUAAUAUAUUGAACCGCAUGGUCCAAUAGUGAAAGACGGUUUUGCUGUCACUUAUAGAUGGAUCUGCGCCGCAUUAGCUAGUUGGUAAGGUAACGGCUUACCAAGGCGACGAUGCGUAGCCGACCUGAGAGGGUGAUCGGCCACACUGGAACUGAGGCACGGUCCAGACUCCUACGGGAGGCAGCAGUAGGGAAUCUUCCGCAAUGGGCGAAAGCCUGACGGAGCAACGCCGCGUGAGUGAUGAAGGUCUUCGGAUCGUAAAACUCUGUUAUUAGGGAAGAACAAAUGUGUAAGUAACUCUGCACGUCUUGACGGUACCUAAUCAGAAAGCCACGGCUAACUACGUG
rnacentral:rRNA from 1 species